GAGUCAGUCACCCUUUGGCCGGACAGGCGGUUCCCGGGCGCGGAGGAUGGAAACCUGGCGGUAACCUCUGCAGGUCGUGCCACUCGGUGUGCGCAAGGUCUCCAGAGGCAUCUUUUCAUUUUUAGGGGGCACUUUCCACGAAUUCAUUUGAGCUACACAGCAGUCCUGGGCAGUGGGGAGUGGUGAGCUCCAUUGUGUACACUUGGAAGCAGCCCAGAAAGCUUCUAGCACGGUGCUUUGUGCACAGUAAACACUCCAGCGGCUGUUGACCAAUGAAUGAAUGAAGAUUGUAGGCUCAAAUAUUCAAGUUAUCAAAGUGCAAAGAAUGAGAGGUUGUUUGCACUGGACUUCAAAAAUAAAUAGCCUGGACCUGUACUGUCUUACACAACAGCUAUGAGCUACUGGUAUGUGGCUAGUCCAAACUGAAAUGCCCUUUAAGA
rnacentral:lncRNA from 1 species